rnacentral:snRNA from 1 species
AGCUUUGCGCAGUGGCAAUAUCGUAGCCAAUGAGGUUUAUCCAAGGCGCAAUUAUUGCUAAGUGAAAACUUUUUCCAAUACCCCGCUGUGACGACUUGCAAUAUAGUCGGCACUGGGAAUUUUUGACAGUCUCUACGGAGA